CGGGUUUUAAUCAGAAUAGAACUUCCUCUGACAGAACGAGGAAAGGCUGGCGCUCAGGUUGGCCCCAUUGGCCGUGCAGGAUCCCACAUCCCCUCUCUGUGCCCCCAGGGUGGCUUUGUCAGCUUACCCAAGGGAUGCUGUCACCCUGGGGGUGGUGACAAAGGCUUUCGUCAGCCUCAGGCUGAGCAAAUUGGGGGCACAGGGGGAAGUGUGAGAGAGAGCAUCCCCAGAGCUGCAUCCCCUGUGCUCAGGGAUGGGCACACGCUGACAUCUCAGCCAGCUGCUCCCGCGUCCCAUCAGCAAAGUCCCCGUGCAAAUGAAAGCUCCUCGCUGUGGCGCACAGGAAAUGGGCCUCAGCCUCAGCUCCAAAGCACCAGAACUCAUUCCAGGCGCGGAGGGAAACAUUUCCUUUCAUCUCAGGCCAGGAGUGGAAGCGGCCCUUUCGUCUCCCCCCGCCCCAUUCCCCCCCCCAGAUGGAGCUUUGAAGGCUGGCGGGGCCCUCCCACAUGUGCUGCUGGGGCUGUGAGCGGUGUCUGCUGCGGGACGGGGGGAGCAGAGGGUGGGGAGCAGCCCAGUGGGGCUCUGCCCUCGGAGGUGCCCAAAUGGGGCCGUGAUCCCACAGCCCACCCUCCCCCAGCCCCAUCUCCAGGCAUGGGGACAUCCAUGGGAUGGAGGGCAGUGGGACCACCGCAGGCAUCACUUGGCUGCUUGGGGUUUCUGUGGGCUCUUCUUCCCCAGCAGGAAGGUCGUUUGUGAUGGGGGUGGAGCGGCUGCCCUUCGCUCUGUAAUGCCUUCAGGGUUUGGGUUUUGGGAGGUUUUUGGAGUUUUGGGGGCUUUCUGCCCAAGGGCUGCGAGGAGGGCAAAGGGGUUUUACAUGGGCUGUAGGGACAGAGUUACAGAGAAGUGUUACAGGGUCAUGGAGUCUCCCAGGCUGGAAGGGACCCAUAGGGACCAUUGAGUCCACCUCCUGCCUGCUGGUGUAGGUGGGGUGGGGAAGGAUCCUCACCCCUCCCCCCCCCAAAUUCUUCUUCUUUCCAACCCAUUUAUUGAUAGCAGAGCAAUGGAGGGCGACGCCCACGUGGCAGUGGGAGGGUGCGCACCCCAUCCUCUCCCAUCCCACCCCAACUCAAGCUAAGGCGCUGCCCCACAUGGGCCACGGAGAGGACCCAGGACCUUCCCUCCAUCCCUGGCGCAGCUCCGGUUUGGCCCAGAGCUCGGAGGGAGGAGAUGCUGAGCACUGAGUCAGCUGUGAGCGCAAAGCCGCUCACAUAGAAAUAACUCCGCGUUCUUUGGGACGUGCAUCAGCAGCAUCACCCGACUGCCCCUCUGCUCUGCGCUUUGUGGCCUCAUCCCACCGGUGGGCUUUGGGAGAACAGCCUGAGGGAAGCCAUGCAACCGUGCUGGUUUGUUGGUGCCUUCCUUUUGGGUCCCAUCCAGCUCUGCUCGCCGUUGGGAAGUGAGAAACACAAUUCCCCUCCGUUAUUCUCACUCCCAAUUCCAACCUCCAAAGCGAACAUCCGGGGGCAGUUUCGCUCCCUGCCCUUCCAGCCCCUUAUUUAUUGCUUUAUCAGCUUUUUCCAGAAGCAGAUGAAGCAAAUCCUCCCAUAAAUGCCUUCCUCGUUGCUGACUGCUCUGCUUUCCCACAGACGUUGAAGCUGAUGCAGGAGGACUGAGUGGGUCUCUGCAGGGGGAGGGAUGGAUGGAUGUUGGGGUGGUUUGGAGCUGCAUGCAGGCAGAGGUAACUGCACACACAGACACAUUUCCACCUCACCUCCACUCCUUUGGAAGCAGAUCUGGUUCUGUGCAUGGUGGAGAAAAGGGGAUUGGCUUCUUCUUGGCCUUGCUGGGAUUUUAGGAUGGUGGGAGAGGAGGGAGGGACAGCGUGGUGCCAAAGUGCAUGGAGCAAUAGGGAUAAGGGGUGUGAAGGAUGGGAGAGCAGGGAGCUGUGGGGAGGUCGGGGGGGGCGGAUGCUGUGAGAGCUGAGCACGAACCACAGGAUGGGAACCAAUGGGGCUGGGAUGGAGCCCAGCAUGGAGAAGCUCCAGGAACUCUGCGCCUGUGGGCUGGUAUCUGCAAGAGGAGCUUUGCAUCUUCCUUUGUGGGCAGAGCAGCGCGGAGCGUUGGGCAGGCAGUGUGUGCACACAGACAGGAUGAAGCCACGACGCUCCCUACGGAACGAACCCCCUGCUUUGCAUCCCACGGCACCGUCUGAGGCCGCAGCAUCUCCUGCUGGAAGUGAUUCACUGCAGUGCACAGCGGGAUGGAGCUGAGCUCCCAGCUGUGCCUUUGGGGUCUGCGCUCUGUGAGUCACCAACAUCCAGUCCUGGUGCAAGGCUGGGGCCGGCCGCUUACUGGGAGCACUGCGAUGGAGCUCUGUGCCACCACCUGAAAAGAGAAACCCGAGUUCCAGGGACGCGAAGUCACCUCGAGAAGGAAACGAAACGAACGGUUCGGCCGUCCAUCAGCGCUGCGGGGCGCGGAUCAAAGCCGCCCCGCAGCCCCGCGCCGCCCGCAG
rnacentral:lncRNA from 1 species